rnacentral:rRNA from 1 species
ACAAUGGAGAGUUUGAUCCUGGCUCAGGACGAACGCUGGCGGCGUGCUUUAUACAUGCAAGUCAAGGAGAACGUUUUCUUCGGAAAACUAUUAAACUGGCGAACGGGUGAGUAACGCGUAGGCAACCUGCCCUAGAGAUUGGGAUAACAUCGGGAAACCGGUGCUAAUACCGAAUAAUGCAGCGGAUCCUUCGGGAUACAGUUGUUAAAGCGGGCUUCGGCUCGCACUUUAGGAUGGGCCUGCGUCCGAUUAGCUUGUUGGUGAGGUAACGGCCUACCAAGGCGAUGAUCGGUAGCUGGUCUGAGAGGAUGAUCAGCCACACUGGGAUUGAGAUACGGCC